rnacentral:rRNA from 1 species
UACGUAGGGUGCAAGCGUUAAUCGGAAUUACUGGGCGUAAAGCGUGCGCAGGCGGCUUUGCAAGACAGAUGUGAAAUCCCCGGGCUUAACCUGGGAACUGCAUUUGUGACUGCAUGGCUGGAGUGCGGCAGAGGGGGAUGGAAUUCCGCGUGUAGCAGUGAAAUGCGUAGAUAUGCGGAGGAACACCGAUGGCGAAGGGAAUCCCCUGGGCCUGCACUGACGCUCAUGCACGAAAGCGUGGGGAGCAAACAGG